rnacentral:rRNA from 1 species
CCCUUAGAUGUUCUGGGCCGCACGCGCGCUACACUGAUGCAUUCAACGAGUUUCUUCCUGGUCCGAGAGGAAUGGGUAACCUUUUGAAAGUGCAUCGUGAUAGGGAUAGACUAUUGCAAUUAUUGGUCUUCAACGAGGAAUUCCUAGUAGACGUAGUUCAUCAGACUGCAUCGAUUACGUCCCUGCCCUUUGUACACACCGCCCGUCGCUACUACCGAUUGAACGUUUUAGUGAGGUAUUUGGAUCGGACCUGAAGGGGUUCACGCCCUUUCUGUGUCUGAGAAGACUCCCAAACUUGAGCGUUUAGAGGAAGUAAAAGUCGUAACA